UACGUAGGGGGCAAGCGUUGUCCGGAUUUAUUGGGCGUAAAGAGCGUGUAGGCGGCCAAGCAGGUCCGCUGUGAAAACUCGAGGCUCAACCUCGAGACGUCGGUGGAAACCGUUUGGCUAGAGUCCGGAAGAGGAGAGUGGAAUUCCUGGUGUAGCGGUGAAAUGCGCAGAUAUCAGGAAGAACACCCGUGGCGAAGGCGGCUCUCUGGGACGGUACUGACGCUGAGACGCGAAAGCGUGGGGAGCGAACAGGG
rnacentral:rRNA from 1 species